rnacentral:rRNA from 1 species
GGGGUGNCAGGCGAUACGGGCAUAACUAGAGUGCUGUAGGGGAGACUGGAAUUCCUGGUGUAGCGGUNGAAUGCGCAGAUAUCAGGAGGAACACCGAUGGCGAAGGCAGGUCUCUGGGCAGUAACUGACGCUGAGGAGCGAAAGCAUGGGGAGCGAACAGGAUUAGAUACCCUGGUAGUCCAUGCUGUAAACGGUGGGCGUUAGGUGUGGGGACCGGUUUGGUUUCUGUGCCGUAGCUAACGCAUUAAGCGCCCCGCCUGGGGAGUACGGCCGCAAGGCUAAAACUCAAAGGAAUUGACGGGGGCCCGCACAAGCGGCGGAGCAUGUGGAUUAAUUCGAUGCAACGCGAAGAACCUUACCUGGGUUUGACAUGCACCAGACGGUUGUAGAGAUACGUACCUCCCUUUGUGGUUGGUGUGCAGGUGGUGCAUGGUUGUCGUCAGCUCGUGUCGUGAGAUGUUGGGUUAAGUCCCGCAACGAGCGCAACCCUUGUCUUAUGUUGCCAGCACUUUGGGUGGGGACUCAUGAGAGACUGCCGGGGUUAACUCGGAGGAAGGUGGGGAUGACGUCAAAUCAUCAUGCCCUUUAUGCCCAGGGCUUCACACAUGCUACAAUGGUUAGUACAACGCGCGGCAAACCUGUGAGGGUGAGCGAAUCGCUGAAAGCUAAUCUCAGUUCGGAUUGGGGUCUGCAACUCGACCCCAUGAAGUCGGAGUCGCUAGUAAUCGCAGAUCAGCAAUGCUGCGGUGAAUACGUUCCCGGGCCUUGUACACACCGCCCGUCACGUCAUGAAAGUUGGUAACACCCGAAGCCCAUGGCCUNA